CAGCCAUAUCAAGUGAAAAAAAGAGCGACGUGAAAUACUAACGGAGAAGAAGCGGCUGUUAUUACGAGAUUGAUACACUGGGUUAAGGUCAGCGGGGUAGUUUCUAAAUGACAGUCAGCCUUGUGCUUGAUUUAGGCGCUGUUGAAGCUGCUCAGCAUUAUGUUUCUUUUAUGCGGAUAAUGACAUUGCUGGGACACUUUGACAUCGAUCCUCCUAAGAACGGAAUAAUAAACUGAACCUGCUUCGCGCUGUUUCAUGUGACCCAGUAGUUUGCUUCUGGAGAAAACGAGCCAAAUGAUGUCAGGAAUGCAUUACAAGGGUCAAGAAGUCAGCUGCUGCAUCAAAUAUUUCAUAUUUGGAUUUAACAUCAUAUUUUGGUUGCUCGGGAUGGCUUUCCUUGGAAUCGGAUUAUGGGCUUGGAGUGAGAAGGGCGUUCUGUCUAACAUCUCGUCCAUCACGGAUAUGGGUGGAUUUGAUCCAGUGUGGUUGUUCGUGGUAGUUGGAGGGGUGAUGUUCAUCCUGGGUUUCGCUGGCUGUAUCGGGGCCCUGAGGGAAAACACCUUACUGCUCAAAUUUUUCUCUGUGUUUCUGGGGAUAAUCUUCUUCCUGGAGCUGACUACCGGUAUCCUGGCCUUUGUCUUUAAAGACUGGAUUAAAGAUCAGCUCAACUUUUUCAUCAACAACAACAUACGAGCCUACAGAGAUGACAUUGACUUGCAGAACCUCAUCGACUUCACUCAGGAAUAUUGGGAAUGCUGUGGGGCGUUUGGAGCAGAUGACUGGAACCUCAACGUUUACUUCAACUGCACGGACAGUAACCCCAGCCGAGAAAAAUGUGGCGUGCCCUUCUCCUGUUGCACCAAAGACCCAGCGGAAGAUGUUAUCAACACACAGUGUGGAUAUGAUGUUCGGGCAAAAUCGGACGCAGAGCAGAAGACAUACAUUCAUGUCAAAGGCUGUGUGCCGCAGUUUGAGAGAUGGCUACAGGACAACCUGACCGUAGUGGCUGGGAUCUUCAUCGGCAUCGCUCUGCUGCAGAUAUUUGGAAUAUGCCUUGCACAGAAUUUAAUCAGUGAUAUUGAAGCUGUGAGAGCCAGCUGGGUGCCGCCCCCCUCUUUCGUCGCCCGCCGCCCCCCGUCCCACUCCAGCAAGAAAGGCUCGGUGUACUCCUGAGGGAGGUUGGCCUGUUUGUUCACAUGAGAUGGCAGCUAGUCGUUCAGACACUCACAGGCCUGUGCCAGAACGGUGCGCUGGAUCCUGUGUGCAUGUGCACCGUCACCUUUUACCAUCUGUAAAUAGUGCUACUUUUUUAAAACACUUAUUGUGUAAUGUGAAAAAAUGUCUGUGUCCACAGAGUUGCGUUAAACAAAAAAAAAAAAAAAAAAAAUCCACCGCUGCAGAAGCAUUUCAAAAAGCAUAAUUCAAAAUAAUCUGUCACUUUAGGAAAAUGUAAAUACUAGGCAAAGACAUAUAUGAAAUGUUUUUAUGUAACAUGAAUCGGGUGCGUUUAGUUCAGUAGUCAGGACACAGUCAAGUUACUAAAAAUUCCCACAAUGCACUGUGCACUAAUACUAAAUCACAUAAACGUAUUAAUAACAACAAAUGAGUUUAUUUUGGCAUAAUGAUUUUAUUUUAUUAAGCUACACACUAAAUUAAACUCGAAUGCAUUAGUAACUAACAAGAUAAUUAUUGGUCAAAAGACACCAUGAUAAUAAUAAUGAUAAUAACAAGAGGUCAUAUGUAUUAGCUAGUUACAGUUCACCCAAAAAUGAAAUUCCUGUCAUAAUUUACUCACCCUGUCGUGAGUAAACCUCGAUGAACUUCUUUCUUCUUCAAAAAGAAGGUAUUUUGAAGAUUGAUAGUUGACGGUAGCCAUUGACUUCAAUAGUAUUUUUUUUUUCCAGUGGCCAUCUCUUUGAGGAAACUUAGGUUUGCUUAAAUUAUCCAUAUUUUAGAAAAAUCAUGUUUAAGAGAUGAACAAAUAAAGCCUGAUGGAUCAUAUUUGACUCACAUUUGAUCAUCAUAUUAUUGCAUUGCAUUAUAUAUUUUACUCCCACAAUAAAACCUACAGAGCUUUGAUCAUAAAACUAAUCAAACUUUAAAUAUCAUCUUACUAAGACAUAUUAUUGGGAGAUAAAUGCAUUUUAUGUAAUAUAAAUAUCAGGAUCUGCAUUGAAUGUUUUUUUUUCCCUCCCAGAGCUCCACAUCCUCACUAUAUCAUAUUAUAGGAGUCAUAAAAACCUGAUUUUUCACAUAUGAUACUGUACUUUUUUUAUUUUUUUCUUAAGGUUUCUAUUAUUUCAUAUUUCAGGUUUUACAAGGUCAAUUAUUAGAUAUUAGAAUAUUUACCACUCAAAGAUUAUAUGAAAUACAUCUAGGCCUAUUUAAUAAUCUGGGAAAUGAAAACAAUGACUGAUAAAAAUAGACACAUUUCUUCAGUGGCGGGGGAUUAUUUGUAGCGCAGCCUCUGUGCAAUGUUUUUAUGAAUUAUUCUGUUAACACUGGAUCACGUUUGCACUUAAGUUGCAUAUUACAUUUCACUCUUAAGUAUAAACGUUUGAUGCAAAUCUUGCAGAUUAUAUACACUAAAACAGUCAGGAAGUCAUUCAUACUUUUUAUUUAGUUUUUGUAAAAUGGUGUUCUUGCACUAACAAAUUAAGAGAUGCCAGAAAAUUGCUUAUUCAGAUGUUUAUCUUUCACAAGCAAUUUCUGAUAAAAGAGAAAAAUGCACCGUGAUUGUGUUUUUCUGUAACGUACGGACUAAUCAGAAGUUUGCUUGUUGCAGGUUGUUAUAAAUAUCCAAGUGAUAUUUGAUCAUCUUUACAAUGCAAACGCAGUUGUGACAGUGUAACACACUACUGUAUGUACUGUAGCACUCGUGUAAUUGUGCAUCACUAAAACUGCUUUUAACAUGG